GACAGAGGAUGCAAGCGUUAAUCGGAAUUACUGGGCGUAAAGCGUGCGUAGUCGGUUAUUUAAGUCGGGUGUGAAAGCCCCGGGCUCAACCUGGGAAUUGCAUUCGAUACUGGAUAGCUAGAGUUCGGCAGAGGGAAGCGGAAUUUCCGGUGUAGCGGUGAAAUGCGUAGAUAUCGGAAGGAACAUCAGUGGCGAAAGCGGCUUCCUGGACCAGAACUGACGAUCAGGCACGGAAGCGUGGGGAGCAAACAGG
rnacentral:rRNA from 1 species